rnacentral:sRNA from 1 species
AACAGUAUAGGCUUUGAGGGCGGUUGGCUAUCUCCCGGAAGGGAGGUAAUGCCAUGGAGGUUAAGGAUGCUUUGGCGCUAAUGAUUUCAUUUGCGACCCUAAUCGUACUUAUACUUUCAUUCUUUAAAAAGAAAUAAACCGCCCUCACCCAAGGCUGCGGUUUAUUUUCAAUCGCUUAUCCGGAAGCCUACCGCCCUUAAAAGCGGCUGUUGUGGGGAGUCGUGUUAGCGCACGGCUC